ACGGUACCUAACCAGAAAGCCACGGCUAACUACGUGCCAGCAGCCGCGGUAAUACGUAGGUGGCAAGCGUUGUCCGGAAUUAUUGGGCGUAAAGGGCUCGCAGGCGGUUUCUUAAGUCUGAUGUGAAAGCCCCCGGCUCAACCGGGGAGGGUCAUUGGAAACUGGGGAACUUGAGUGCAGAAGAGGAGAGUGGAAUUCCACGUGUAGCGGUGAAAUGCGUAGAGAUGUGGAGGAACACCAGUGGCGAAGGCGACUCUCUGGUCUGUAACUGACGCUGAGGAGCGAAAGCGUGGGGAGCGAACAGGAUUAGAUACCCUGGUAGUCCACGCCGUAAACGAUGAGUGCUAAGUGUUAGGGGGUUUCCGCCCCUUAGUGCUGCAGCUAACGCAUUAAGCACUCCGCCUGGGGAGUACGGUCGCAAGACUGAAACUCAAAGGAAUUGACGGGGGCCCGCACAAGCGGUGGAGCAUGUGGUUUAAUUCGAAGCAACGCGAAGAACCUUACCAGGUCUUGACAUCCUCUGACAAUCCUAGAGAUAGGACGUCCCCUUCGGGGGCAGAGUGACAGGUGGUGCAUGGUUGUCGUCAGCUCGUGUCGUGAGAUGUUGGGUUAAGUCCCGCAACGAGCGCAACCCUUGAUCUUAGUUGCCAGCAUUCAGUUGGGCACUCUAAGGUGACUGCCGGUGACAAA
rnacentral:rRNA from 1 species